AUGUUUCAUACACUACCAAUUAUUUAUUCCUUUUCAAAACAAAAAAAUCUGGUCGGUUCUUCUUUUUGUUUCAAAUCAAUAACAUAUUUCUUGUUCCAAUUCUCAUUUCUCUAUCUCUGCUUUUCACCUCGCCUUAGAAUAGUUGAGGUGGUGUUGCAUAUUGAGUACAUCAUCACCAAGCCAAUUGUGUCUCAAUUCUGA